AUUUGCAGUGACGGGGAAGGCUGGAAAAUGGCCGAAAAGCCUGUUGACUGGCAAGAAAGGGAGGAGAAAGUGAAAGGUAAAUGCACGAAUGAUCAGAAUUGUUCGCUUGUUCCGAGAAUCCAAGUACUACUCCCGUACUGAUUCCGCCGGCGCCGCCGAAAGAGAAGCAGAGAUGGAGUUUCCGGCGAUCUUCGGCUACAUCGAUCCCCGCAAGGGGCCGAGUUCUAUAGACAAGUUGCCACCACCCCGCCACCUACAGCGGAGGUUGUGAUCCGAUUAACCGAUGGCACCAACGAAAAAGCAGCAGCGGAAGAGGUGGCUGCGAAGAUCAUUCAAUCGUGUUCGAUCAUAUUUGGCGAGGAGACUUUGAGAGCAUUAAAAGGACUAGUGAAGUUACAGCACUAGUGAGAGGUCACUUGGUGAGAAGACAAGCCAGUGUUACGCUCAAAUGCAUGCAGGCUUUGAUCAUCGCACAGGCAAGAGCUCGAGUCAGAGGAUGCGAAUGGUUGAAGAUGCCAAGCCUGCUGGCGAAGGCAAUCGCCCCACCGAAGGUCAACCACGGAUCAUCGGCUAAGGCAUGCUUAUCAUGUAAAUGACGGUGGAAUGGAAGAAAACAUUAAGAUUGUAGAAAUGGAUA